UACAGAGGUCCCAAGCGUUGUUCGGAUUCACUGGGCGUAAAGGGUGCGUAGGCGGUCGGGUAAGUCUGAUGUGAAAUCUCACAGCUUAACUGUGAAACUGCAUUGGAUACUAUCCGGCUAGAGGAAUGGAGGGGAGACUGGACUACUUGGUGUAGCAGUGAAAUGCGUAGAUAUCAAGUGGAACACCAGUGGCGAAGGCGAGUCUCUGGACAUUUCCUGACGCUGAGGCACGAAAGCCAGGGGAGCAAACGGG
rnacentral:rRNA from 1 species